rnacentral:rRNA from 1 species
GACAGAGGGUGCAAACGUUGUUCGGAUUUACUGGGCGUAAAGCGCGUGUAGGCGGCUUUGCAAGUCGGAUGUGAAAGCCCACGGCUCAACCGUGGAAGUGCACUCGAUACUGCAGAGCUAGAGUGUCGGAGAGGUUGGUGGAAUUCCCGGUGUAGAGGUGAAAUUCGUAGAUAUCGAGAGGAACACCGGCGGCGAAGGCGACUUCCUGGCCUGUUCUUGACGCUGAGGCGCGAAAGCUAGGGGAGCAAACGGG